rnacentral:rRNA from 1 species
CAGCAGCCGCGGGAACACGUAGGGUGCAAGCGUUAAUCGGAAUUACUGGGCGUAAAGCGUGCGCAGGCGGUUUUGUAAGACAGAGGUGAAAUCCCCGGGCUCAACCUGGGAACUGCCUUUGUGACUGCAAGGCUAGAGUACGGCAGAGGGGGAUGGAAUUCCGCGUGUAGCAGUGAAAUGCGUAGAUAUGCGGAGGAACACCGAUGGCGAAGGCAAUCCCCUGGGCCUGUACUGACGCUCAUGCACGAAAGCGUGGGGAGCAAACAGGAUUAGAUACCCCUGUAGUCCCUGUCUCUUUACC